GCAGUCGCCGCGGUAAUACGUAGGUGGCGAGCGUUGUCCGGAUUUAUUGGGCGUAAAGGGAGUGUAGGCGGUCUUUUAAGUCUGAUGUGAAAGCCCACGGCUCAACCGUGGAGGGUCAUUGGAAGCUGGGAGACUUGAGUGCAGAAGAGGAGAGCGGAAUUCCAUGUGUAGCGGUGAAAUGCGUAGAUAUAUGGAGGAACACCAGUGGCGAAGGCGGCUCUCUGGUCUGUAACUGACGCUGAGGCUCGAAAGCGUGGGGAGCAAACAGGAUUAGAUACCCGAGUAGUCCCUGUCUCUUAUAA
rnacentral:rRNA from 1 species